rfam:Gossypium arboreum cultivar AKA8401 contig_15371_5, whole genome shotgun sequence.
AAUCCAUGCAUAAGACAUUUUUUAAGAAAAUCUUUGAACCUUUCCCAUACUUCAAACAGUAUUUCAUCCUCUAGUUGCUUGAAGGAUGUUAUGUCAUUUCUAAGUUU